GGCCAGGCCGCGGAGAGCGCGCAGGGUUUAUGCGCCUGCGCAAGAGGUCGUGGGCGGUGGAGGACCAAGUGCGGUGCUGCUGGAGUUCCUGCGUAAUGCCAACUGGUUCCAACUAAGGGACCUCAGGGCAUUCUUUUAGGUGUCAUCACAUAAGAGGUAAAACCAAAACUCAGGAUGAGAGAAGGCUGGCCACCCAGAGAACAAGAACAUAGAGAAUUGAGCAGUUACAGCAGGAGCCUGGUUCACCUGAGUGGAAAGGUAGAGAACACAGAAGGUACCACAAAUAUUUGCACAAUUGGCCGCAGAGCCUACUAACUGGCUAUAUUUUUGUUGUUGCAGCAGAAACAAAUGAGUGUCUUUGUAGAGAAGAGGUUUACUUAAGCCCAAAGCCACAGGGUAAAGCCCAGUUAAGGCUGUUGGGACCUAAUUUGUUUCCAGGAAUUUAGUUUGUCUAGGUCAGAUAUAACAAAAUAUGAGUGGAAAUUCGAUAAGGAACGGAGAGUCAUUUUCUGAUUGCCAAAGGAAAAAAUCUGAGAAAACAAUAUUCCUUUUUCUUAAUCAAAAAUAUGAGGCAGCACAUAGAAUUUUUUUUCCUUUGAAUUUCAGUUUUAAUUGGGACUCAAAAACUGAAAGCAAAUUUUCACAUGGUCCAAGGAGAAGUGUCUGACUAUGCAAAUAAUACCCACAAAGGAAUUCAAACCUGGUGUGCAAAGCAGUCCAUAUCAAAUCCUCAGGCAAGGAAGAUGGUUGGACAAGAUUAGAGAGGGGAGUUUUCAGUCUCCUUCAUACCCCACACCUCAGCCAAGAGUCAGCAGCUUCAAAGGAACUCUCCACAGCCUGACGUGGGUCCUCUGGAGUUUGUAGAACCCACGUACUGAUGCUUGGCUUGAAAAUUUAAAAUACUGGAGACUGAACGGAGCUGAUCCUGAUGGAAGAAUCAGAGGAAAAAAGCAGUGGUGAGCUCUGAAUUUUCAAGGAAGAAGGGAAGAAAUGCAGUUUCUAAUAGGGCAGAAGAAAGUUGUGAGGCAUCUAUGAGGGUCAAAGUGAUCCCACCUAAGAGAACAACCUGCAAAGCAUCAUUCAUUUCUCCAAAAAAUAUUAAAAAGUGCCAUUUGAGUGUAUAUUGGAACAGCAGCUAAGAGUGACACAUAAAGCAGUCCACUUGGGUUUGUUUGACAUGUAUCAGAGAACACUGCAUAGAGACCUGCAGAACUCAUUGAAAACUGCAAUGCCGGAACACAAAGACAGCAGUAGUAGAAGCCCUUCUCACUCCUAUCUUUCUUCUUCCACUUUGGUUUAUGCUUGAGGGAGCCAGAGGUAAGACAGGGACUGGCAAAGAAGGCAAGGAUAGAAAGAUAUAUUUUACAACUGAGCAGCUCCUCCAUCUUCAUCUUUUC